rnacentral:rRNA from 1 species
GAUGAACGCUGGCGGCGUGCCUAAUACAUGCAAGUCGAGCGAACAGACGAGGAGCUUGCUUCUCUGACGUUAGCGGCGGACGGGUGAGUAACACGUGGAUAACCUACCUAUAAGACUGGGAUAACUUCGGGAAACCGGAGCUAAUACCGGAUAAUAUAUUGAACCGCAUGGUUCAAUAGUGAAAGACGGUUUUGCUGUCACUUAUAGAUGGAUCCGCUCCGCAUUAGCUAGUUGGUAAGGUAACGGCUUACCAAGGCAACGAUGCGUAGCCGACCUGAGAGGGUGAUCGGCCACACUGGAACUGAGACACGGUCCAGACUCCUACGGGAGGCAGCAGUAGGGAAUCUUCCGCAAUGGGCGAAAGCCUGACGGAGCAACGCCGCGUGAGUGAUGAAGGUUUUCGGAUCUUAAAACUCUGUUAUUAGGGAAGAACAAAUGUGUAAGUAACUAUGCACGUCUUGACGGUACCUAAUCAGAAAGCCACGGCUAACUACGUG